AGGACGCCUACAGAUAUAAUCACCAAACACUCAACCACAGAGAGACUCACAAACCUUUGGAGAACCAGUACAGCUUUUAAAACUUCAGCCAACAAAACAAAAAAAACUAGAACUCACCGAAGAAGCUUGGGCAUGCCGCUUACCGCCAUGCCGUCCAGUGUACUCCAGCAGACUGGCGUGCAGGUAUGACAUCCUUCACUGGAAACCUUCUGGAGACUAAAGAGGAAAGUCACAGGCAAAAAGAAUGGUGUUAUAGUCUCUCCUGGUGAUAUAGUUGCAUAUUACCCAUGAUGCAUGACGUGAUGCUCCCAUCUGCGUUACUUGGUGCCACAGAGUAACGUCGACUAAUACAAAGUUGCAAGUCUCAACAGUGUUCGAUAAACGAGGAGAGUCUGAGUGGAAAGAGGCUCUGAAAGGGAACCAAUAAACUGGUGGUGUGCAAGGUUUUAUAACUUCACUGCUCUGCUGAGAUAGGGAAGUCUGGCUUCUGACUGGACCAAAACAAAGAUGGCCGCCUCUAUCUAACCUAGCCAGUUGCCAUCAGAAAUUAUACUAUUUCACUAAAAUUAAAACAGAAAU